rnacentral:rRNA from 1 species
CACGUAGGGGCCAAGCGUUGUCCGGAUUUAUUGGGCGUAAAGAGCUCGUAGGCGGUUCAGCAAGUCGGGUGUGAAAACUCUGGGCUCAACCAAGAGACGCCACCCGAUACUGCUGUGACUAGAGUCCGGUAGGGGAGUGGGGAAUUCCUGGUGUAGCGGUGAAAUGCACAGAUAUCAGGAGGAACACCGGUGGCGAAGGCGCCACUCUGGGCCGGCACUGACGCUGAGACGCGAAAGCGUGGGGAGCGAACAGG